rnacentral:lncRNA from 1 species
UACAGUUGCUGAUUUGUUGGUGACUUAUUGGUGACUCUUGGUACUGAUGGUGAAUAUGAAUUGUGGACAUUUAUUUCUGGGACGCCAUAGUUCUGUCUGUGGUUUAUCAGCGGGUUCCGUUUAUUUCGGAGCCCCGGGUUGAAUUUGAGAGUACCUGUUCAGAGGAUCUGAUUGUCAUCCGUUCAGUGGAUGUUCCUGUGAAGAUAGUGAUGUAAUCUCCGGUUCCGUUUAUUUCGGAACUCCCCAAGUUG